rnacentral:rRNA from 1 species
UACGAAGGUGGCAAGCGUUACUCGGAUUUACUAGGCGUAAAGGGCAGGUAGGUGGUCUGAUAAGUCUGUUGUGUAAGCUCCCGGCUUAACUGGGAGAGGUCAACAGAUACUGUCAGGCUGGAGUAUGGGAGAGGGUACUGGAAUUCCCGGUGUAGCGGUGAAAUGCGCAGAUAUCAGGAGGAACACCAAUAGCGAAGGCAGCUCGCUGGGACGUACUGACACUGAGGCGCGAAAGCUAGGGGAGCAAACGGG